rnacentral:pre_miRNA from 1 species
UUUUAGUUUUUAGUUUUUAGAUACAAUAUUUUAACUCUUUGUCUUAUUUGAAAUUUUAUUAUGACAAAUAUUUUUAUUGUUACAAGAUGAUAGAAUAUGAAUAUUACUUUAUACGUUACCAAUUUUUUUAAGUUUUUUACCAAAUUUUCAAAUAAGACGAAUGGUCAAAGCAUUGGGUACAGAAAUCGAAAAAUGACGUUAUU